UACGGGGGGGAGCAAGCGUUGUUCGGAUUUACUGGGCGUAAAGGGCGCGUAGGCGGCCUCUGCAAGUCGACUGUGAAAUCUCCGGGCUUAACCUGGGAACUGCGUUUGAAACUGGAAGGCUUGAGUGUGGCAGAGGGGGGGUGGAAUUCCACGUGUAGCAGUGAAAUGCGUAGAGAUGUGGAGGAACACCGAUGGCGAAGGCAGCCCCCUGGGCUAACACUGACGCUCAUGCACGAAAGCGUGGGGAGCAAACAGG
rnacentral:rRNA from 1 species